rnacentral:rRNA from 1 species
CGAGUUUGAUCCUGGCUCAGAUUGAACGCUGGCGGCAUGCCUUACACAUGCAAGUCGAACGGUAACAGGUCUUCGGAUGCUGACGAGUGGCGAACGGGUGAGUAAUACAUCGGAACGUGCCCGAUCGUGGGGGAUAACGAAGCGAAAGCUUUGCUAAUACCGCAUACGAUCUACGGAUGAAAGCAGGGGACCGCAAGGCCUUGCGCGAACGGAGCGGCCGAUGGCAGAUUAGGUAGUUGGUGGGAUAAAAGCUUACCAAGCCGACGAUCUGUAGCUGGUCUGAGAGGACGACCAGCCACACUGGGACUGAGACACGGCCCAGACUCCUACGGGAGGCAGCAGUGGGGAAUUUUGGACAAUGGGCGCAAGCCUGAUCCAGCCAUGCCGCGUGAGUGAAGAAGGCCUUCGGGUUGUAAAGCUCUUUCAGCCGGGAAGAAAACGCAUGGGUUAAUACCCUGUGUGGAUGACGGUACCGGAAUAAGAAGCACCGGCUAACUACGUG